rnacentral:rRNA from 1 species
AUUGAACGCUGGCGGCAUGCUUUACACAUGCAAGUCGGACGAGUGGCGAACGGGUGAGUAACGCAUCGGAACGUACCUAGUAAUGGGGGAUAACUGUCCGAAAGGAUAGCUAAUACCGCAUAUUAUCAGAUCGGCCGAUAUCGGAUUAGCUUGACGGCGGGGUAACGGCUCACCGUGGCUACGAUCAGUAGCGGGUCUGAGAGGAUGACCCGCCACACUGGGACUGAGACACGGUCCAGACUCCUACGGGAGGCAGCAGUGGGGAAUUUUGGACAAUGGGCGCAAGCCUGAUCCAGCCAUGCCGCGUGUCUGAAGAAGGCCUUCGGGUUGUAAAGGACUUUUGUCAGGGAAGCGGUACCUGAAGAAUAAGCACCGGCUAACUACGUGCCAGCAGCCGCGGUAAUAC